UUGACGUAUGUCGAGCUUGCUCACAGGCACAUCAUAUCCAUAACACCUGUGCACUUGUCGGAUGGCUUAGUGAAGACCGCAAGGUUGAAUCUAUCCAUCUACUUUACAUAACAAUUCUGUAACAAAUGUAGUCUUAUUAUAACAUAAUAAAACUUUCAACAACGGAUCUCUUGGCUCUCGCAUCGAUGAAGAACGCAGCGAAAUGCGAUAAGUAAUGUGAAUUGCAGAAUUCAGUGAAUCAUCGAAUCUUUGAACGCACCUUGCGCUCCUUGGUAUUCCGAGGAGCAUGCCUGUUUGAGUGUCAUGAAAACCCUCAACCCUAGAUUGGUUAAAACCUUUCUUUGGUUUGGAUUUGGACGUUUGCCGAUGAUAAGUCGGCUCGUCUUAAAAGUAAUAGCUGGAUCUGUCUCGCGACAUGGUUUGACUUGGCGUAAUAAGUAUUUCGCUAAGGACAUCUUCGGAUGGCCGCGUUGCAGGACUAAAGACCGCUUUCUAAUCCAUUGAUCUUCGGAUUAAUACUCUUGACAUCUGGCCUCAAAUCAGGUAGGACUACCCGCUGAACUUAAGCAUAUCA
rnacentral:rRNA from 1 species